GCCCGCGGCCCUGCCUGCCAGCCUCCGUGCCCCGCAGCGCGGGCGUCGCUCUCCGCUGACAGGGUCGUGCUCGGCCGGCUCCCAGCCAGGUUGGAAGAGACACUGAAAGGCGGGAGGCCCAGCUCUGCGCCAGCGUGCCCAUGGAGGAGUUUGCCCAGAUCUGGACACUGAGGAGAGCCGACGUCAGGGGUUCUUGAGUCCAACAAACCCAAGUCAGAUCACUACAGGAAGAAUUUCUUGCAAGGAGAGAAUCAAAUGAAGCACCAAAGAAAUAAUUCAGAGCACCUACUGUAAGUACCUCAAGUAGAUAUUUUGAAUAUCUCCAUGUUUCUUGGUCUUUCUACAAGAUUUCCUUGGUCACAGCAUCUUCCAUUCAUCUAUCUUAGCAAUAAAGUCCUAAUCGAAGGACUGUCUUUAAGAAUAAACAGCAAUGCUUCUGAUGUGCAUUAAGAAAGUAAGCUCUAGUAUCAGCAUUAAACACAGAAGUAUUAUCCACCCAGGAAGUGGUCUGCAGAAGCAAGUGCCAUCUUCAGUUCCUCUUGUAAUUUAUUCACAGCUUUCUAAAUUUUCAGGCUGUGUUAACUGUAUUAAAGCACUGUAGCUGUGACAUCAUGAUAGAAUACAUUCUUCCAAAACUUGUGAUAAAUUGGAUAAAUAUGGUAAUAAUGAAAGCAAUUGAAUUCAGAAUGAAAUACCCAGUGUUGUUUGUUGGUUUGUUUUUUUUUUUAAUUCAGGUGAAUUAAUUGCAGUGUAAGCAUGAUGGGAACAGACUUUUUGCAGAUUUGUAAAACUGUAAGGUUAGCUUUUAAAAGGCAUGUAGUUAGUUCUUUUCUCAGCUUUUGAGUUUGAUUCUAGGUUUGUCUCAUCAUACAGAAUGGGAUUCAUUCUGCAGCCUGUUCUCCUCGUCCCACUUAGGAGAGACUUGAGGGUUGCAUAGAGGAAGUCAAAAAAGAUAUUUUGCAUAAUUUAAUUAUGAGCCCUUUAGCUGCCUGAAUAAUGUUGAUGGAGUCCAUAAAAAUGUGUCUUUUCUGCCUUAGGCAGCAUAAAAUGGGAACAUGCUCGAGCUCAGAGGAGAAAAAAGG